UCUCUCACAAGUCACAACUCACACAUCUCACAAAACCAUCAGACCUUCUCUCUCUGGCGACUCAAGAAAACCAUGCCAGAUCUCUCACCAGAUCCGUUUCAUGACCAGAUCUGUGAGGAUUCCACCGCAUGUUCCCCUCCGCCUUGUUACGCUGCUUCAAUCGCGGCUUCUCCUUCAUUCCAGGGAUUUGCUGAUGUAAGUAACCAUUGAAUCAAGAUCAAUCAGUGAUGAGUGUACCAUUUGAUAGAAGGGUCGAAACUGAAUCACCUUUCAUGGUUCAAGGUUCGAGAAGAUUGGAGAAGAAGACAAGGACGGAUGCUUGCGUUUUAUCAUAUCGGAGCUGCAAGAAAACUUUGUUUCCAAUGUACUACGCUCUCAAUUUGGUUUGGAAUUGAGCAAGAGUACACUUUGCUUCAACCAGAUGUGAAGUGGCCUUUUGGUUGGCCUGUUACUGUUAGAGUGUCAAUAUAGUCAAAGUAAGAACUUAUUCUUAUUCAAUAGCAUAUAUUGUUAUAAAAAAUGAUCUUGUAUUUUUCCUUUUGGCUGCUUUUAGCAGCAAUUGAAGUGUCAAUAUAGUCAAAGGGGCCAAAUUAUACCAGUCAAUCCUCCAAAUAUGCCGCUGGGUCGUAUUCCAAAGUCUUUUAUAUGUAGAGAUAUGAUAUAUUAUAUAACUGUCAUGCUACUAAUCCUGUACGGUAUAUAUUUUAAAGGACAUGCACAACUGUCUCCGGGACAUUUCGCCAGUUCUAUGAAAAGGCAUGGAUUUUGUGGCUUCUUUUUAUUAAUGUUAGGAUUUCAUCUCAGUUAGGUUUCAUGGCUAUCAAAUUUGUAUACAUUUUAGCAAAUUUGGAUAUUCGAUUUCAUUAAUAACAACUCAAAGUAAGAACACAUCUUCUGAAAUCCAUAUGGCUAAGUGUAGUGGUGAAAAUAGGUGGGUUGGUUAAUGGGAUGGGUCUGGUUGACUUACAAACCAUCUUUUAUCGUCCAAUUCGUCCGUAACGAGCAUCGUCUGUCACUAGCGUCGACUCUGUAACGAGUCGUAAAUGUAUAAUAUUUUUAUUUUAUCGUCCGAGUUGUCCGUAACGAGCGUAGUCAGUGACUAGCGUCGAGUCCGUAACGAGUCGUAAAUAUAUAAUAUCUUUAUUUUAUCGUCCGAUCCAUUCGUAACGAGCGUACGUCCAUAACUUGCAUCGAGUUCGUAACGAGUUGUAAAUAUAUAAUAUUUUUAUUUAUCGUCUGAGUCGUUCGUAACGAGCGUCGUCCGUAACUAGCGUCGAGUCCGUAACAGUUAUGAUCUAUUUUUUUGAACGCGUAACUGUAACUCUGUACUGUCUAUUUUACAUGAAAAUUAAUUUUUCUAACCUUAGAACAGUGAAUACAUUCUUUGUUGUAUUAUUCAGGUAAUUGUUAUUUAAGUUUUCUAUCUUUAGCGCAAAAAGAAACGGAGCAGCACGAGGCUGCUAAACAACAAGCUGAAUUCGUAACAAGCUCCAGCUAUCGGAAUAUGGUGUCAAAGAUGAACUAUUAUAUGUUUGCUGCAUUAAUAUUUUAUAAUGACCAAUAAGCCCAAACCUCAAACCAAACCGGAACCAAACAGUUAGUAACGGUUUGCUUUGGUUCGGUUUUAAUUUUCAACGGUUCGGUGCCGGUUUUGGUGAUAAAACUUAUGUUUGUUUUUUUUUUUUUUUUUUUUGCCAUGUUAGUUCAAUUGUUGGGUUCAGGGGCUCUGAUAUUGAAGCCUCACAUAAAUCAACAACGUCCUAAAGGAUGGUAAGUAAUUUCUUAAAAGUUAAAGCUGAUUUGGUUCUUAACUUUUUAUUUUUGUUCCAGCAAACAUUCUUAUAUUUGUAAAUUAGAGGAUGAAAACCCAAUUAAUGGAUAUGUACGAUAGAGCACGGGUCGGAGCGGUUGUAGGCGGAACAUAUCCAGCAAUCGGAGUGGAUACAACCUGGUUAAGAAACAGAGCUCGAAGAUUCCAUGAGGUUGUUGCUGCUGUGGGGUGUAAGAGGAGGAAAGUCUUAUUUGGAGUGACCGGGAAUGACGGGUGAGAACUGGGACAUGUGGAUAUGUGGUUCAGUUAUAUUUGACAACAUUUCAGCUAACAGAUCGGUCUCAUAUGAUCUUUGACAUGUGUCGGACAUAGAGAGAUUAACAGACCGAAUUCUCUUAGCUUCUGAUGGUGGUUUGCAGCAGCUCUCCCAAGAUGCAUUAGUUGGUAGCUUUGGGAAGGCUGGCACUCCUAAAUCUAUUUCGCCAACAAUUGGCGCUUCUCUUUUGCUUUAUUAGCCGAGUUCUCUUUGUUGUUUUGUAGAUUUGGUUUCCUAAAUGUCUGUAUAUGGAAUUAAUAGGUACAUGUUACACCUACCAAAAUGAAUUAGCUAUGGCUUCAUAUACUUGCUGAAUAGUCUUGGGGUGCAAUAUUUGAGUGAAAUAUGCCGGUGCUAUGUCCGAAAGGAAUUAAUAGGUACAUGUUACACCUACCAAAAUGAAUUAGCUA